rnacentral:lncRNA from 1 species
AAAUAAUCUUCAUUCAUCUUUUUACUGGAAAUAUUUUGGAUAAGUUCUUUUUGCUCUCAUUUUCCCUGCCAGUGCAGUAAUUUUUCCAUAGAAUAUCAUUUCGGAUAUAUUUUACUGUAAAGUAAUGAAUAACUCAACACAAGCACAUCCAUUCUCUUAAUUAAAUGAGGUACAGCUCUUUGGCUGAAACAAACAAUAAUAUUAUUUAUAACUCACAUUACAUAAAGUGUGCUGUCAUCUAUAAAGAGACUGUAAAUUACACGGUAGGGUUCCUUGUUUGCUUUUUUUUUUUUUUCUUCCCAGUGACUUGCUUGUAGACCUCUCUUUUAAUUCACAAAUAAAACCAUGACUUUCUUGAUUGCCAGCAAUGAAAAUUCACCCAGAGAUCUGAGAUCAAGCUGUGUUCUUUCUGGCUUCUGCCAAAAUAGACUCUGGUUCACUGCCUCAGCUCUGAGGUGGUUCUUGCAGGGCUGAUGGGAACAAAAAGCAAUAACAGUACUUUUGCCAGUACAAAGAUGAAGUGAACAAAUUAUCUCGGAAGUAGGAAGACACGAAUUUUCAAGUCAGCUUUAUAGAAAACAGCUGUUGUUUGAAACAAAUGCUCAUAGCAGGACUGGGUGGAAAGGUCAAUUUGUCAAUUGCUUGAUGUUCCUCUGCAGCUUUCCCUCAUUUCUUCUUUUUGAUCAUUCCAGCUCAGCGUGAGGUUCACAGUGAUUUCUGAAGCUAAGCAGCUUGUGGUUGUUGUUGCACAGCCUUUUUCCCUGGUGGAAGUGCUGGACUCAUGUGUUUCUGCCCUCUUCUAAUUGCUGGCAUGAUUAUACUUGUGUUGGUACGACUGUGUCUGGGGCUGCUCCAUGGACUGGAUGGAACUGAUUUUUGUGGUGGCCCUUGGGCUCAUCACUUUGGAGCCAAGUCCCAGCACAACUCUGCCAACAAUUGCACUGGCAGAUGAGGACUGGGUCCCUUGACAGAGAAAAGAUAAUGAUGUGUAACAAAGACUACUGCCCCUGGAGCUCUUUCAGGCUGCGAACCACAAAAUUCCACAUUCAAAUUCUGGAAAAUAUUUGGCUGAGGUUUAGUUGGUUCUUAGAGAAACACACAGAAGGCAGGAAAACAAUUUUGAAAAGUUUUUAUCUGCUCUUUGUGGGAACCACUGAUGUCUGGACCAUCAACUGUUGUCACAUGGUGGUGGCCUGUACCCUGCAUGCCUGAGUGCCUCCAGCUGCCCUGGGAGUGUUGAGUGCAGCACCUGAUGCCACAGAACUUGCAGAGAGCCUGAAGAACAUUGAGAAGCAAAGCUGAACAAUUACUCAAACUGCAUAACAUGAUAAUUCUAACAAGAGAAGAGACACUGAGCCACAGGUGAUGUAUGCUGGCGUUUACAGUACCCUCUGUUGACACGUCCCCUAUGAAUUGUGAUUCUCUGCACUGUUUCCUUGGGUUAAAGGAAAGUGAAAUUUAAUGGGACCUGCACAGAAGUAAACACAUUCAUAGUUAAGACAUCAUCUCUUUUUACCUCUUAGAUCAAUGUAAUUUAUGCAUUAUGGCAUCUGUUAUGUAAGAUCUGUUGCAAGAACUUGUGAUAUCUGGUGAAUAAAGGACAAAGUCUAAGUUUAAUUUUGAAUAUU